GGGUGAUUAGCUCAGUUGGUUAGAGCAUUACGUUGACGUCGUAAAGGUCGGGAGUUCAAAUCUCUCAUCGCCCACCA
rnacentral:tRNA from 1 species